rnacentral:misc_RNA from 1 species
AAGUCGUAACAAGGUUUCCGUAGGUGAACCUGCGGAAGGAUCAUUAACAAAUUUUCCAAACCAAACCACGUAUGUGAACUGUUAUAAAGCCCAUGGUGUGCUCCGGCGCUGGGCAGUCGCGACCUCGUGUCGCAUUAAGACUGCUCAGACCAACGUCGGUCCACCGUGUUAUUUACGUCUGAGAGUACGCUUGAACCUGAGACUUUAUAGUAAAAUAUAAAGACAACUUUUAGCAACGGAUCUCUAGGCUCUC